AGAAAUAAAGAAAUCUCCAUCUUCUCUCUCUAUUUAUUCUUGUUGUUUUUUAUUUAUAUUUUAUAACACAUUAUCAGCACGAGUCUCUAAUAAAUAAGAGAUUGUUUCUUUUUCGGAUAAGGUCAUUACCUGUAGCUUGUUGAAAAUCCAAAGAAAAUCAUUGGUAUAACCGAGGUCCUUAAUUUGUGGAGGAGAAUGAUUCAAGUGGAUGUAAUUAUGGUAUGUAUAUAUUAUUUCAUCCGGGAUGAUUUUAGCAAACAUUGACAAAAGAUUAUAGUGCCAUCUUAGGUAAAGCAAUUUGAGCUUUUUGCUCAUUGUUGUUUUGUUUCACGGACCAC
rnacentral:lncRNA from 1 species